rnacentral:rRNA from 1 species
UACGGAGGGUGCAAGCGUUAAUCGGAAUUACUGGGCGUAAAGCGUGCGUAGGCGGUGAGUGAAGUCUGCUGUGAAAUCCCUGGGCUCAACCUGGGAAUGGCGGUGGAUACUGGCUUGCUAGAGUACGGUAGAGGAAGGUGGAAUUCCCGGUGUAGCGGUGAAAUGCGUAGAGAUCGGGAGGAACAUCAGUGGCGAAGGCGACCUUCUGGACCAGUACUGACGCUGAGGCACGAAAGCGUGGGGAGCAAACAGGAUUAGAUACCCUGGUAGUCCACGCCCUAAACGAUGCGAACUGGAGGUUGGGUGCAACUUGGCACGCAGUCUCGAAGCUAACGCGUUAAGUUCGCCGCCUGGGGAGUACGGUCGCAAGACUGAAACUCA